GUAGGUGGCAAGCGUUGUCCGGGAAUUAUUGGGGCGUAAAGCGCGCGCAGGCGGUCCUUUAAGGUCUGAUGUGAAAGCCCACGGGCUCAACCGUGGAGGGUCAUUGGAAACUGGGGGACUUGAGUACAGAAGAGGAAAGCGGAAUUCCAAGUGUAGCGGUGAAAUGCGUAGAGAUUUGGAGGAACACCAGUGGCGAAGGCGGCUUUCUGGUCUGUAACUGACGCUGAGGCGCGAAAGCGUGGGGAGCAAACAGGAUUAGAUACCCUGGUAGUCCACGCCGUAAACGAUGAGUGCUAAGUGUUAGGGGGUUUCCGCCCCUUAGUGCUGCAGCUAACGCAUUAAGCACUCCGCCUGGGGAGUGCGGCCGCAAAGGCUGA
rnacentral:rRNA from 1 species